rnacentral:rRNA from 1 species
AGCGAACGCUGGCGGCGUGCUUAACACAUGCAAGUCGAACGUGAAAUGUAGCAAUACAGAGUAAAGUGGCGUACGGGUGAGUAACACGUGGGUAAUCUACCAAAGAGCCUGGAAUAACCGACCGAAAGGUUGGCUAAUACUGGAUAGUUCAAAUGAAGUAUAAUGUUUAGAUUGGGAAAGGGCGCGAGCAAUCGCCUUCACUUUUUGAUGCGCCCGCGUCUGAUUAGCUAGUUGGUAGGGUAAUGGCCUACAAAGGCGACGAUCAGUAGCUGGGAUGAGAGGAUGAUCAGCCACACUGGAACUGAAACACGGUCCAGACUCCUACGGGAGGCAGCAGUGGGGAAUCUUGCGCAAUGGACGAAAGUCUGACGCAGCCACGCCGCGUGAGUGAAGAAGGCCUUCGGGUUGUAAAGCUCUGUCGGAAGGGACAAAAACGUUUAAGGUUAAUAGCCUUAGAUCUUGAUGGUACCUUCAAAGGAAGCACCGGCUAACUUCGUGCCAGCAGCCGCCGCCG